CAACAAGUAUUUUAUAUUAGAAUAUUAAUUUUGGGGAUUAAAGGUGGAGGUAUCUUUCUUGUUGA
rnacentral:tRNA from 1 species